AAUUAAUGAUCUUGUAUAAGAUUAUGUUUUGAAAACAUACCAAAGAAACUUUAACUUUUCUAUUAAUUU
rnacentral:tRNA from 1 species